rnacentral:rRNA from 1 species
AUUGAACGCUGGCGGCAGGCCUGACACAUGCAAGUCGAGCGGAUGAAGGGAGCUUGCUCCUGGAUUCAGCGGCGGACGGGUGAGUAAUGCCUAGGAAUCUGCCUGGUAGUGGGGGAUAACGUCCGGAAACGGGCGCUAAUACCGCAUACGUCCUGAGGGAGAAAGUGGGGGAUCUUCGGACCUCACGCUAUCAGAUGAGCCUAGGUCGGAUUAGCUAGUUGGUGGGGUAAAGGCCUACCAAGGCGACGAUCCGUAACUGGUCUGAGAGGAUGAUCAGUCACACUGGAACUGAGACACGGUCCAGACUCCUACGGGAGGCAGCGGUGGGGAAUAUUGGACAAUGGGCGAAAGCCUGAUCCAGCCAUGCCGCGUGUGUGAAGAAGGUCUUCGGAUUGUAAAGCACUUUAAGUUGGGAGGAAGGGCAGUAAGUUAAUACCUUGCUGUUUUGACGUUACCAACAGAAUAAGCACCGGCUAACUUCGUG